CCCACUUGUUCUUUCCACUGGCUGCUCUUCACUAUACAUCAACUCACACAGCUUCAUUGUGACCUGAUGAUAGUCCUUGGUGAUUUUAAUUUCUUGCCAUCAUCAUCAUCUAUGAUUUUAAUAUCGAGUGUAGUUUCUUUGAUUAAAUAGCGAGAAAUUCGGACAGGAUGGGAUCUGAGUUUGCUCCAUGUUUUGAAGUUAAAGCAGCAAAGAAUGUGUCACGAAAGUAAGCAGGGGCCCCAUUGUUUGCGAGCAUUAUACACUGCAUCAAGUCAAUCAUUUCCUUCAAGACCAUAUUUAUCUAUAAGAGACGUCCAUGUUCAAAAUCCUCAACUGUCUUUAGGCUAGAAUUGCAAUCCACACACAACAAUGGCUACUCAUAUGGUCCUUUACGCCAAACUGGUAUGGGUGUUGCUGGUGCUGCCACCCUUUGGAUUCCUCUAUUAGCUGGUGAAGAAAUUACUUGUGAUUACCACUUUAGCCAUGAAGAUGAAGAAAAGAAAAUUCCAUGUUCCUGCAAUUUUGAACUGACUGACAUUAAAGUCGUUAAACUUUACAUUAUGUCAUUGAACAUUUUGUUGUCUGUAACAUGUUAGCUCUAUAUGUAUGUGGGUAAAAGUUCAGGUUUUAGGGAUUUCAUUUACGAUAUUACUUUAAUGAUAGUCAAAUUGUUGUAUGAAAUAAGAUACCGAAGCCUCUUUAUGUAUGUGGGCAAAAGUUCAGGUUUUAGGGAUUUCAUUUACGAUAUUGCU